rnacentral:sRNA from 1 species
CCGUAGCCAUUCUGGCGCAUG